rnacentral:rRNA from 1 species
AUUUAUGGUCAAGCUACUAAGGGCGCAAGGUGGAUGCCUUGGUGCCAGGAGGCGAUGAAAGACGUGGUUAGCUGCGAUAAGCUUCGGGGAGCCGCUAAACAGGCCCAGAUCCGGAGAUUUCUGAAUGGGGAAACC